CUAGUUAAUUCUACUAGUAGUUAUAUAUUUAUCUUAAAGAUUAAACUAUAUAUAUCUAAAUAUAAGUAAUUAUAUAGUAAAACUACAAAUAGCUUAUUAUAUAAAUUACUAUUUAUUUAAUAAUACUUUACUACUUAGAUAUUUAUAAUAAUUCUAGAGUUAAUAUACAUUAAAAAUCCCAACUUUAGAAGGAAUAUAUUUAUUAAAUUAAAACCUAAUACUUUUUAAAGCUUAUUAAUAAUUUAUAAUAAUAUUUUAAAUUAUAUAGCCUUAUAUUAGCAAUAGUUUAUUUAAAUUUCUUCUUUAUUAAUUUUUAAUAUUCAAGUAGUAUUUUAAUAUAGUUAUAAUAAGUAAUAGAGGGUUAAGGUUUAACCCUAGAGAAAGAGCUUGAGAAAUAACUAUUAUAUCUAAAGAAAGUAAUAGGUAUAUAAAUUACCUAAUUUUAAUAUAGAGAUGUAGUAAUAAUAAAUAUUAAUAUAGGGGUUUUUUAAGUUUUAUAAUUAGAAUAAAUAUAAUUUAAAUUUCUUAAUAAGGAAUAAUUAGAAAGUAAGUCUAGUAUUAAUAGCUAUAGUAAUUCUAGUUUUAAUAGUAUAUAUUAAAGUUAUUAUAAUUAAAAAGCUUAUAAUAGAAUUUUAGGCCUAACUAACUAGUCUACCUUAUUAUAUAUAUUAGUCUAGCUAGGCUUUUCCCUCUAUAAAACUAUAUACUUUUUAUUAAGUAUACUAAGGAAAAAGGAUUUUUAAUUUAAAAGAAUUAGAGUAUUCUAAGUAGGUUUAUAUUUAAAUAUAUUAAUAUAGAAUAAGAGAAUAAAAUAUAUAGUUCUAUUUAACUAGUUUCUAAGACUAUUAUAAUAAUUAAUAGGAAUAGUUAGAAGUAUUAGUAUUUAAUUAUUAGAAGUAAAAUUCUUAGAUUUAUUAAAAACUAACUACUAUAAAAAUAUUUACUAAAGAUUUUUUUAUUUAUUAAAAAUGAAAGUUAGAAGAUUAAAGAUAAUUAGAUACUAUUAUAGUCUUAAUUAUAAAUUAUACUAACUAGAGAUUAAAUAAUAUUAUUUUUUAACUUAUUUAGUAUUUUAUAAUGAGUUAAAAUUUUUAAACUCUA
rnacentral:ncRNA from 1 species